rnacentral:tRNA from 2 species
GCGCCCGUAGCUCAGUUGGAUAGAGCGUCGGCCUCCGGAGCCGAAGGUCGUGAGUUCAAGUCUCGCCGGGCGUGCCA